rnacentral:rRNA from 1 species
UACGGGGGGGAGCAAGCGUUGUUCGGAUUUACUGGGCGUAAAGGGCGCGUAGGCGGCCACCGCAAGUCGACUGUGAAAUCUCCGGGCUUAACCCGGAAAGGUCAGCCGAUACUGCGGGGCUAGAGUGCAGAAGGGGCAACUGGAAUUCUUGGUGUAGCGGUGGAAUGCGUAGAGAUCCGGAAGAACACCGGUGGCGAAGGCGCCUGCUGGGCAGUAGCUGACGCUGAUGCGCGACAGCGUGGGGAGCAAACAGG